CGGUUCCCAUGUGAUCGCCGAAAUUAACCAAUGUGGAGCCAACUCAGUACUUAGAUGCGUGUCCUCUUGAGAAUACCAGCUGCUGUAA